GAGUUUCAUUUUCUCCCUGUUCUGUUUAGUCUGAAACAUGUCAGGGUGUUCCGGAAGGCCGAUGUGACACAUAAGGAUUUGAUCAGAAAAAUGAGGUUCUUCCUUCUGCUUGUUUUUCCUUUGUGAAACUUUCGAGAGUCCCCUGGGCUCUGCUGGCCCCACUGCGUUUUGCCACAUGGAAAUUCUCUGAAGCGAGGAAGAGUAAGGAAGAAGUCUAAUUGCUGUUCGCCGGCUGUCUAGGAAGGAUCUUUGCUUCUAGGCUAAGUGCACAGUAUCUUGAAAAGCAUGCCCAGAUUUUAUCUGCUUGGGGGUUGUUUCCUGAGAGAGUGAGUGUGUCUGGUACAGCAACACACUGAUGUACUAAGGAACAGACUACAUGCUUUCAAGCUCACACACAGCGAUGAGGAUCCUGAAACUUAACAUGGAAUGGAGUGUCAUCGGAUUGGAGGGGAAAUGUAGUCUGUCUCAAACCAUCUGCACAGCUGUGUGGAGGUUUCCAAUACGGACCAGAAGUAUGAAGAACAGGAAUGGGCGGCUCGGCAUCUCAGGAAGAUUUGAAGAUUCAGUCCAAGCCGGGCGGUGGUGGCGCACGCCUUUAAUCCCAGCACUCGGGAGGCAGAGGCAGGUGGAUCUCUGUGAGUUCGAGGCCAGCCUGGUCUACAAG